AGCAGCCGCGGUAAUUCCAGCUCCAAUAGCGUAUAUUAAAGUUGUUGCAGUUAAAAAGCCCGUAGUUGAAUUUUAGGCCUGGCCGGACGGUCCGUCUCUGGCGAGUACUGUUCUGUCGUCGGGUCUAUCCUUCUGGUGAGCCGGUAUGUUCUUAAUUGGGCGUGUCGGGGAACCAGGACCAUUACCUUGAAAAAAUUAGAGUGUUUAAAGCAGGCUUCUGCUUGAAUAGAUUAGCAUGGAAUAAUAGAAUAGGACGUUGUGGUUCUAUUUUGUUGGUUCUAGGACCACCGUAAUGAUUAAUAGGGAUAGUUGGGGGCAUUAGUAUUCAAUUGUCAGAGGUGAAAUUCUUGGAUUUAUUGAAGACUAACUACUGCGAAAGCAUUUGCCAAGGAUGUUUUCAUUAAUCAAGAACGAAAGUUAGGGGAUCGAAGACGAUCAGAUACCGUCGUAGUCUUAACCAUAAACUAUGCCGACUAGGAAUCGGGCGACGUUAUUUUCACGACUCGCUCGGCGCCUUAUG
rnacentral:rRNA from 1 species